GUUUCUGUGGUGGAGUGGUUAUCAUAUUCGCCUAACACGCGGAAGGUCGCUGGUUCGAGCUCUGCCAGAAUCA